rnacentral:rRNA from 1 species
UGCAACCUACCUUAAUCAGGGGGAUAGCCCGAAGAAAUUCGGAUUAACACCGCAUAAAAACACAGGAUAGCAUUAUCCAAUGUUCAAAUAUUUAUAGGAUUAAGAUGGGCAUGCGUGUCAUUAGCUAGUUGGCGGGGUAACGGCCCACCAAGGCGACGAUGACUAGGGGAUCUGAGAGGAUGACCCCCCACACUGGUACUGAGACACGGACCAGACUCCUACGGGAGGCAGCAGUAAGGAAUAUUGGUCAAUGGAGGCAACUCUGAACCAGCCAUGCCGCGUGCAGGAAGACUGCCCUAUGGGUUGUAAACUGCUUUUAUCCGGGAAUAAACCUACUUACGUGUAAGUAGCUGAAUGUACCGGAAGAAUAAGGAUCGGCUAACUCCGUGCCAGCAGCCGCGGUAAUACGGAGGAUCCAAGCGUUAUCCGGAUUUAUUGGGUUUAAAGGGUGCGUAGGCGGCCUGUUAAGUCAGAGGUGAAAGACGGUAGCUCAACUAUCGCAGUGCCUUUGAUACUGAUGGGCUUGAAUGAACUAGAGGUAGGCGGAAUGAGACAAGUAGCGGUGAAAUGCAUAGAUAUGUCUCAGAACACCGAUUGCGAAGGCAGCUUACUAUGGUUUUAUUGACGCUGAGGCACGAAAGCGUGGGGAUCAAACAGGAUUAGAUACCCUGGUAGUCCACGCCCUAAACGAUGAAUACUCGCUGUUAGCGAUAUACAGUUAGCGGCUAAGCGAAAGCG